AUGGAGAGGGAGAAGGAGGAACUGGAGAAAGAGAGGGAGGCUGAGCUGGAACUGGAGAGAGAAAGAGCGGAGAGGGAGAAAAAACUGAAGCUGGAGAGAGAAAAAACGGAAAGGGGGGAAGAACUGGAGAGGGAGAGGACAGAGCAGGAGGGGGAGAGAGACUUGGAGAGGGAGAGGGAGGAGUGGGAGUGGAGGAGGGCAGAGAUGGAGAGAAUGGGACAAAGAGGUUACGAUGAGGAGACUGGACAGCCAUACCCAUACCCUCCAGAGUAUUUUUACCUAAAGGGGCAACAAGGUGAGAGUGGGAAACCAGGAAAAAAGGGUGAAAUUGGUGAAAAAGGACAGAAGGUAAUGUACAAUGUUCAUUCAAAAGCUAAUAUCAACAUAGCUGUUGUAGCUUUUAGCAGUGCAAUGAGGAAAUGGUUUUGUGUUUUUGUGUUUUUAGGGAGAGCCAGGCAUCGGCCACAGAGGUCCAGAAGGCCAAGCAGGUCCUCCAGGGCAGAAGGGUGA
rnacentral:lncRNA from 1 species